rnacentral:tRNA from 1 species
AUUUAAGUAGUUUAAAAUAAAAUAUUAAUUUGUGGAAUUAAUGAUAUAAAAAAUUUAUCUUAGAUA